CCUAUAUAAACAAGGCAGUUUGCUGCUAGCCAGCCAGGCAGUAACACUGCCUGGCUGCAAGGUUGCUUAUAACAUCCUGGAGGAAUGUGGUUGCCUCAAGCCUGUCUCUCCGUUAUGAUGGUCACCUGGACCCUAACAGUCCCCCUGUCAGAGCAUCAUGAAGGAAAGAAUAACUAAGGAAGAACACAGGGCAUAUAAUUUGAACCCAGGCACAGAAAAAUGAUGGUGUAUAAAAGCAUGAGACACAGCAGAAGGCACAAACCCUAGGAGAACAGAAGUGUGCAGUAGAAGUGAUCCAGAACACCAAAGUAAGAUGGUCAGAGUAGACCCGAGCCAUUCUUGCAAAUCUCUACCGCAUCUUAACCCCAGCCACCUAAAGAAUAACAGGUGUGUUGAUGGAAACUGGUCAUUCAGAGCCCUGAUAAUUGCCCCAGAUUCCAAAGCUGUCCUUCAUCAGGGCUGGUAAUGAAGUCUGAGUGUAGGCCAUGAUCCUGACAGCCAGACUGGAAUGUGACUGAGGCUGAAAGCUGACACCAGCUCACUGGGAAAAAGGACUGUGUGUAAAGGCUGGAUCCACGACAACUGAGUAUUUUCCCCAUGAUGCAUUUACACAGCAGGCCCAAAGUUCUGUGAAAGCAACAGCUGUUGUAAAAACAUUGUAUUAAAUAUGCUUAAAACUGUGAAAUGUGCAUUACCCAUAUUGCACCUCAUUUGAGAGACUUCUGAAAACACACAAAAUGUCUGGAGCAGACUUUCUGCUCUGUGAGAUACUUUUAAAAACAUUGUUCCACCCAGAGGAAGUUUUUCCUCCUGCCUGUUUUUCUCAAAAGUAGAUCAUCAUGUUAAAAAAUAAAGAC